rnacentral:rRNA from 1 species
GACGAACGCUGGCGGCGUGCUUAACACAUGCAAGUCGAACGGACCCUUUGGGGUUAGUGGCGAACGGGUGAGUAACACGUGGGUGAUCUGCCCUGCACUUUGGGAUAAGCCUGGGAAACUGGGUCUAAUACCGGAUAGGACUACGCACUGCAUGGUGUGUGGUGGAAAGCUUUUGCGGUGUGGGAUGGGCCCGCGGCCUAUCAGCUUGUUGGUGGGGUGAUGGCCUACCAAGGCGACGACGGGUAGCCGGCCUGAGAGGGUGACCGGCCACACUGGGACUGAGAUACGGCCCAUACUCCUACAGGAGGCAGCAGUGGGGAAUAUUGCACAAUGGGCGCAAGCCUGAUGCAGCGACGCCGCGUGAGGGAUGACGGCCUUCGGGUUGUAAACCUCUUUCGCCAGGGACGAAGCGCAAGUGACGGUACCUGAAGAAGAAGGACCGGCCAACUACGUGCCAGCAGCCGCGGUAAUACGUAGAGUCCGAGCGUUGUCCGGAAUUACUGGGCGUAAAGAGCUCGUAGGUGGUUUGUCGCGUUGUUCGUGAAAACUCACAGCUUAACUGUGGGCGUGCGGGCGAUACGGGCAGACUGGAGUACUGCAGGGGAGACUGGAAUUCCUGGUGUAGCGGUGGAAUGCGCAGAUAUCAGGAGGAACACCGGUGGCGAAGGCGGGUCUCUGGGCAGUAACUGACGCUGAGGAGCGAAAGCGUGGGGAGCGAACAGGAUUAGAUACCCUGGUAGUCCACGCCGUAAACGGUGGGUACUAGGUGUGGGUUUCCUUCCUUGGGAUCCGUGCCGUAGCUAACGCAUUAAGUACCCCGCCUGGGGAGUACGGCCGCAAGGCUAAAACUCAAAGGAAUUGACGGGGGCCCGCACAAGCGGCGGAGCAUGUGGAUUAAUUCGAUGCAACGCGAAGAACCUUACCUGGGUUUGACAUGCACAGGACGCCGGCAGAGAUGUCGGUUCCCUUGUGGCCUGUGUGCAGGUGGUGCAUGGCUGUCGUCAGCUCGUGUCGUGAGAUGUUGGGUUAAGUCCCGCAACGAGCGCAACCCUUGUCUCAUGUUGCCAGCACGUUAUGGUGGGGACUCGUGAGAGACUGCCGGGGUCAACUCGGAGGAAGGUGGGGAUGACGUCAAGUCAUCAUGCCCCCUUAUGUCCAGGGCUUCACACAUGCUACAAUGGCCGGUACAAAGGGCUGCGAUGCCGUGAGGUGGAGCGAAUCCUUUCAAAGCCGGUCUCAGUUCGGAUCGGGGUCUGCAACUCGACCCCGUGAAGUCGGAGUCGCUAGUAAUCGCAGAUCAGCAACGCUGCGGUGAAUACGUUCCCGGGCCU